GACCUCCAUCCAUACGAAAUCGUGUCCAGGUAAUCAAAGAUUGAGUGAUUGCGCUUCGUAUGGACUGAUUACUACGCGCCUAGAAGAGGUUUAUUAAUUUAUGAACAAGUGCAUGGAUCAUUGCUUGUUUCUGGUAUCGCGUGUGUAGAAAGUGUUGUUCAUUACUUUUUCAUAAUUGUUACAGUAGAUUUCACUCGCCAGAUUCAGUCAGAGGCUUGAUUCGAAAGUCUG